CCCAUGGCAACAAGGGGAAAUGGCUGCUGUUGUGUGAAGUAAACGCAAAAUUUUUCAACAUUCUGCUAAGAUAUAUGUGACUUUUUUGCAACGAAAAUGCAGGGAUUAUGAAAUCAUGCAAGCCCCCCAUAUUUUGCACGGAAAUCGGCAAUUUAUGUGGUGAAAGUGCGGCAUAUUUGAAAAAAAUGCGGGGCCCUCAUAUUCAUGCGGACUUUGGCUGAUUAUGUGUUGAAUUCUGCGAUCGCAUAAUCGUGUUUUUCUGGAGGGACUGUAUAUGAAGAGUGAGGUGAUGUUAGGUUGUUGAUCAUGAAAGGAAAUGUGAACAUAACUUUUUAUUUUAUUUAAACCAUAAAAUUACAAGCAUGAUUUUAAUAUUGCACUAGCUUUUCCCAUCACUAUUUUUCUAUGCCUCAUUCAUUCAUCUCCACUGCUUUCAUAUUAGAGAUCAGAUGACGUCCAGCUGGACACUAACAGUAAGGGAGAUGCAGUGAAAGCCAGCACUGCAGAGUUGCAGAGAUCAGAUGACGUCCAGCUGGACACUAACAGUAAGGGAGAUGCAGUGAAAGCCAGCACUGCAGGGUUGCAGAGAUCAGAUGACGUCCAGCUGGACACUAACAGUAAGGGUGAUUCAGUGAAUGCCAGCACUGCAGAGUUGCAGGUAGGUGCUACAGUACA